GGAUUUAAGAGUGAGCUGGCUGCCACAUGUCACUACAUUGAUUGCCAGGGUUGACUCAGCUGAUCUGACUGGCUGGGUGGGUGUUCCCUUCCUCCCUGACCUCUCCAAGUGUGUACUGCUGCACACUGGGUAGAAGAGAACGACCUUCCCUGAAAAAGGAGGACCUUUCAUCAUUCAAGGGUGUAUGAGAAGCUGUGUUCCCUGUUAGAGCCUCUAAACAGGCUCUUAGAAUGGGCUGUUGUCCAACUCAUAGAACAGAGGUUGAGCCCUCCAAUUUUUUAAAAACACUUUUAUUAUUUUUAUGUGUAUGUGUGUAU
rnacentral:snRNA from 1 species